GAGAGAGAGAGAGAGAGAGAGAAAUAUUGUGAAAAGAGUCUAGGGGAGAAGAACCUCCUUGCCUUGGGAGAGCCAUCCCCCCUUUCUCCUCCCUUCCUCAUUUUUUGGUUGCCCAAAGCAAUCAACUUGCCUUGUCACCUCUCUGCCCCAGUGGUUGGGGGAAUACAUUGCACCCGACCCAAUCACAUCCCCUCUCUCUCUCUCUCUCUCUCUCUCUCUCGGUAUCUGUCUUGACGUUUACAUUCACAAAUAUACGUACGGCGGAACAAUCCCCCUCUCUCUCUCUCAAAUCCUGUCAGUAUUCCCAUCAUCAAGCAGACCCCCAACCCUUCGAAAUUCCUAAGGUUUAUAAAAGAAACAGGGCCUUGACCCCAUCACUCUCUUUCAUACCAUCCAUUUCCUUUUACUCCAACCCCUGCCCUUCCCUACCAAUAUACUCCUUAAAAACCAACAUUUUUAAUCAAAGGUAGCAAGCAACCCAAAGAACCACCCAUUUCUCCCUUUUGUAUUUUGGUUAAUCUUCUUAUUUUGUUAAGGAAAGAGAGGGUGUGAAGGGGAGGGAAGGGGAGGCUUGGAAUAUCACAACCACAGCCACAGGAUUGCAAAUGAAUUCAGACAUGGUUAAGAGAGAUGCUGAUUUUUGCGCCAUUGUGAAAAAGAGAUUCGCUUGUCUGAUUUGCGGCAUUGUAGUAGCCGCAUUCCCAGUUUGCAGCUGAGUUUUGGAAUUUGAUAAGAGGGAUCGGAAGCUACCCAGCUUGUAGAAAAGUAGUGAAUCCUGUUGAGAGAGUUUUACAGCUUUUAUUGUCCAUCGGUUGGAUUUGAGUUGGAUUAAGAAUAAGGGGUUGUGGAACCAGCUGAGGGUUUGUCGUGAGGCAAUUUCCAAAAAAAAAAAGAGUACUGAAGAAUCGAGAUUGAGGCAACACGUUUGACAAGCCAGCCGAGAGAGAGUUAUUUCAUGGAUACGAGAGCGAAGAAUCCUACUGCUCCAUUUCCAAAGAGGAACAUGAAUCCUGCAGUUAGAGGAGGGAGAAAGACCGAGUAUCGUCGAUCAUACUCACAAGUGAACAGCAGAAGAAUUAUUCCCUCAAGUUAUUACGGUUUGGAGUCGUUGCUUGUGCUCGCCUGUCUCACUGCCUCACUGUUGCUCCUUCCGCUGAUACUACCACCAUUGCCGCCACCGCCUUUGAUGCUGCUGCUGCUCCCCAUCGGCAUUCUAGCUGUGCUUGUGAUUUUAGUUUUUAGGCCUACUACUACUGUCAAUAGAGAUGUAACUCACUCAGCUAUGUAAAGGGUGUUUAUUUGAGACAUGAAAAAUCAGCUUUUUACGUCGUUAAAGUGUUUGCUUUCCUGAGAUGUUCAAAAGCAAGAAAGACACUUCUUUUAUCAAUUUUUCAUUCAUUUUCUUAAUUCUACAGGCAGCUUGCCAGCUUAUAAUAUACAACCUUGGCAGUUUUGAGAACC